rnacentral:SRP_RNA from 1 species
GCUGGGCGUGGUGGCACGUGCCUGUAGUCCCAGCUACUUGGGAGGCUGAGGUGGGAGGAUCGCUUGAAUUCAGGAGUUCUGGGCUGUAGUGCACUAUGCCGAUUGGGUGUCCACACUAAGUUCAGCAUCAAUAUGGUGACCUCCAGGGAGCGGGGAACCACCAGGUUGCCUAAGGAGGGGUGAACCGGCCCAGGUUGGAAAUGGAGCAGGUCAAAACUCCCGUGCUGAUCAGUAGUGGGAUCGCGCCUGUGAAUAGCCACUGCACUCCAGCCUGGAUAACGUAGCGAGACCCCAUCUCC